GCGCGGCGCUGCGGGCCUUGCCCUGGGACACUCGGGCAGCCUCUGACGCGGGGAUUCCUUCAGCAGGAGAAGUGACGGGCACAGGGGCCUUGGACUGCAGACAGCGGACACGGAGCGCUCUUUGUGUGCAUCACACACACGCACGAGUGCUCCGCGCGGCUCCUGCACAGCCCUCAAACACCGAAAAAGUGGCAUCUGGUGCUUUCAUAGAAGAACUGGAAGAUAAGAGUGGCAGAAGCAAGUUUAAGCAUUGAAGGACAUUGGAGAACAAGUCAGACACAAUUCCUGUGAAAGGUCCAUGGAAACUUGAGCUGCUGGAGUCACUUGUGACCUGAUGUGUUUGGGGACCAGAGUAAAAGGGUGAAGUGAUACAAGGUUACACUGAAGGCUGCUUGAGAGGUCUUUGUUCUUGUGCUGGUUUCUUAUAUCUAAUUUUUUUUAUUUUUUUGGUCUUUAGGUUGGAAACUUAAAUGAGAGGACAACUUACAUAACUGCACUCAAGGGGUUCCAAAUUCAAGAUAAAAUAUAACUGUAUCAGAAUCAGAGAAUCAAAUG